rnacentral:tRNA from 1 species
GAGUGGAUAGCCAAGUGGUCAAAGGCAGGAGAGUCAAAUCCUCCCGGUAUAGUCCUUCGCAGGUUCGAAUCCUGCUCCGCUCA